AGUGAACGCUGGCGGUAGGCCUAACACAUGCAAGUCGAACGGCAGCACAGUAAGAGCUUGCUCUUACGGGUGGCGAGUGGCGGACGGGUGAGGAAUACAUCGGAAUCUACUUUUUCGUGGGGGAUAACGUAGGGAAACUUACGCUAAUACCGCAUACGACCUACGGGUGAAAGCAGGGGAUCUUCGGACCUUGCGCGAUUGAAUGAGCCGAUGUCGGAUUAGCUAGUUGGCGGGGUAAAGGCCCACCAAGGCGACGAUCCGUAGCUGGUCUGAGAGGAUGAUCAGCCAACCUGGAACUGAGACACGGGCCAGACCCCUAGGGGAGGCAGAGGUGGGGAAUUUUGGACAAUGGGCGCAAGCCUGAUCCAGCCAUACCGGGGGGGGGAAGAAGGCCUUCGGGUUGUAAAGCCCUUUUGUUGGGAAAAAAAAGCAGCAGGUUAAUACCCCGCUGUUCUGACGGUACCCAAAGAAUAAGCACCGGCUAACUUCGU
rnacentral:rRNA from 1 species